AAGAAUUAAAUGGAUGAAAUAUGAAGUUUUAUUAAAAGAAAAAGGGAUGAAAAGAACAAAGUUUUGUCUAUCUUUGUUCAUCAUAGCUGAAAGUUAGAGAAGAGAAAGGAGAGGAGAAAGCUCUUGAGUAUUUGGUCAUUAGGAGGAGGAAAAUUGAAGGAAAUCCCCAACCAUAGUGGGCUUGGAGCUGUGAGGGAAUUCGGAGUGGCCACCCGUUCUGAAAGUUUGAUUUUCUUCUGGUGAACUGGACAUCCUUUUAAUUACGUUUGAGGUUUUGGGGUUUUAAAUGUAAUAAGGCCGCUUAUUUUUUUUUUGAUGGUUUUUAAUAUGUAUUACUAAUAUAGGUAAUACUUAUUUUAACUGUUGAAAUUGGAUAGCUUUAGGGCGCGUUUUCAAAAACAA